rnacentral:lncRNA from 1 species
ACAGAAGAUUUGAAUACAAGCUUGACGCACGAGCGAGUACAAAUCAGCGUGAACAGUACGAGGGUACUGUUCAUCUAUUUAUAGGCAUAGAACACAGCCUGUGUACAAUUACAUUCAUGUCCUUCAUAUUUAGUAUUAACUUAAGAACAAUUUACCGGACUAAAUAGACUUUUCCUCCUUAAGUCGGUUCCUUUUUCUGCUAUUGAGCCGAAGCUUCCUUGCGCACAGCUUCAACACUGGUUCAACCUUCGUUCUGACCCUGCCUUCCAUAUUGUGUACAACUUUAUCUCAUGUCCGAAGGUUCCUGCACAUAUAUUAUGCUUUGGGAAACAUUGUUAGUCAUGUUUUUGAGGACCUUCGAAAGACGAAGGCCCCCAACAUUGUGUAAUAAUAUUCUAUGCGCCGCUACGAGAUCGUAGGUUCGAGAAGUAUUAAAAUUGGAGUUAUAGUUUAAAAGGUAUAGUUUUCGGAAGACCCACGUGAUUAAGUAAUUAAAACCAGGUCUUGUGUUGAUUUUAUAAACUAUGUGAGAAAAUGGCUUAAAUAAAUAAUUAACUCAAAUCUAAUCUAAAUUAUAUAUUGAUUAGAGAUUUUAUCCGCGAAGGGGUAUGUUGCUUAUAAUCCUAGCCACUGGUUUAAAUCCAACGGCCAACGCUCUUCUCUCUUAUCUCGGCCAUGAGCACAACGACGCCACCCAACUACGCCCGGUGGAGGGUGGCCGGAGCCAUCCCGACACGGUGCCCGAUGCCCCGAUUCCUAUUAUAACUGACUAUGCGCACAGAGGAAUCGGUGAACUCGAAGGUUGAUAACUUACUGGCAAUAGC